rnacentral:tRNA from 1 species
AAGGCUCUAGCUUAAUGAAAGUGUCUGAGUUGCAUUUAGAAGAUGUAGGUUAAUGUCCUGCGGGCCUUA